rnacentral:rRNA from 1 species
GACGAACGCUGGCGGCGUGCUUAACACAUGCAAGUCGAACGGAAAGGCCCUGCUUUUUGGGGGUGCUCUAGUGGCGAACGGGUGAGUAACACGUGAGUAACCUGCCCUUGACUUUGGGAUAACUUCAGGAAACUGGGGCUAAUACCGGAUAGGAGCUCCUGCUGCAUGGUGGGGGUUGGAAAGUUUCGGCGGUUGGGGAUGGACUCGCGGCUUAUCAGCUUGUUGGUGGGGUAGUGGCUUACCAAGGCUUUGACGGGUAGCCGGCCUGAGAGGGUGACCGGCCACAUUGGGACUGAGAGACGGCCCAGACUCCUACGGGAGGCAGCAGUGGGGAAUAUUGCACAAUGGGCGGAAGCCUGAUGCAGCAACGCCGCGUGCGGGAUGACGGCCUUCGGGUUGUAAACCGCUUUCGCCUGUGACGAAGCGUGAGUGACGGUAAUGGGUAAAGAAGCACCGGCUAACUACGUG